AACUGUAGACACGCAGACAAACACAGACAGACAGAGACCGCAUACGGGACAACAGCUGCGCUCAGGCCCCCCCAAAAAAAACGCACCAGAGCAACUGUAACAACGACAGUGCAGGAAAGGAAAAAAAACGAGGAGAAGCGCAAUGGACUCACUUGUGACGGGAGGCGGGGGGAGCAGUUGCGGUGCCGCCAGAUCUCUUCUUGCUCGGGUGUUCUUGUUGGAUAGCUCGAGUGAGUGGCACGCGCUCAUGCGCCUCGCCCCGACCGCACUGCCCUCGAGGGGUGGGUGGGGAUGAGGAACGCCGGCAGUGGGCCCAAGCUGGAGAGAGCCACGUGGCGUCGACACGGCUUCUCUGUUUGCGUUCUAUCUGAGAGGCCAUGAAGCAGCAAAUGAGGCGGUGGUGGGCAAGACAGUGCUGCCGCUCCAGUGGCGCGCCAGCGCACCGCGACGGCCCAUCCUCUGCCGAAAGUAGCGCGCACAGACGCAAAAAGGGGUGAGUGCGUGGCUGUUCUGUUCCCUUGCAUGUGCGCUGCUCUAACUUUUACGUUGUGGGCCGCACGGAAAGGAUGCACAGAAACCCUUCCUCAUGCGACAGGAUUGCCAUUUUGGCGCGCGUGCUUGCUUGCCACCUCACUGCCUUCUUUUUGGGUUUCUUUGUGGCUCUUACGGUGCCGCUUUUCGAACAUGGUGACUGUCGUCGUGCACUCUAG
rnacentral:misc_RNA from 1 species